rnacentral:rRNA from 1 species
UACGGAGGAUGCAAGCGUUAUCCGGAAUGAUUGGGCGUAAAGCGUCCGCAGGUGGCUAUGUAAGUCUGCUGUUAAAGAGUCUGGCUCAACCAGAUAAAGGCAGUGGAAACUACAUGGCUAGAGUGCGUUCGGGGCAGAGGGAAUUCCUGGUGUAGCGGUGAAAUGCGCAGAUAUUAGGAAGAACACCGGUGGCGAAGGCGGCUCUCUGGAACGGUACUGACGCUGAGACGCGAAAGCGUGGGGAGCGAACAGG